CAAUAGCGUAUAUUAAAGUUGUUGCGGUUAAAAAGCUCGUAGUUGGAUUUCUGCUGAGAACGACCGGUCCGCCCUCUGGGUGUGUAUCUGGCUCUUUCUUGGCAUCUUCUUGGUGAACGUUGCUGCACUUGACUGUGUGGAGCGCUACCCAGGACUUUUACUUUGAGGAAAUUAGAGUGUUUCAAGCAGGCAUACGCCUUGAAUACAUUAGCAUGGAAUAAUAAGAUAGGAUCUCGGUUCUAUUUUGUUGGUUUCUAGAGCUGAGGUAAUGAUUAAUAGGGAUAGUUGGGGGCAUUCGUAUUUAACUGUCAGAGGUGAGAUUCUUGGAUUUGUUAAAGACGGACUACUGCGAAAGCAUUUGCCAAGGAUGUUUNCAUUG
rnacentral:rRNA from 1 species